UACGUAGGGUCCGAGCGUUGUCCGGAAUUAUUGGGCGUAAAGAGCUCGUAGGCGGUUUGUCGCGUCUGCUGUGAAAUCCCGAGGCUCAACCUCGGGCCUGCAGUGGGUACGGGCAGACUGGAGUGCGGUAGGGGAGAAUGGAAUUCCUGGUGUAGCGGUGAAAUGCGCAGAUAUCAGGAGGAACACCGAUGGCGAAGGCAGGUCUCUGGGCCACUACUGACGCUGAGAAGCGAAAGCAUGGGGAGCGAACAGG
rnacentral:rRNA from 1 species